AGAGCGCUUCCUUACCCUGGUAGCUCUGAGUGUCCAGUCUGUGCCCUUGCCUACCACACUUGAUGGGGAAACGGAGCAGCCUGGACUGCAAGCUGUACUGAAGACCCCACCCACACAGUGAGAGUUCCCUUUGGCCUGCACUUCGGGUUGGAUGCAUCCCGAGCUCUCAAUGCAUCGUGUGCUAAGGUUCCACCCUCCCCUGGGCUGGGAAGUAUGUCUUGGUCUUCUGUCUCCAGGGUGCUGGUGGCAGAGCCUGACAUGGAGUCAGUGCUCCAUAGAUGCUUGUUCAAGUUCCUAUUAACUGAGCAGGCUGGGCCUAACACCACUGCCUGCAAAGGCCUGGCAGGUGUAGGGACUCAUCGACCCGUCCCUGCUGCUCUUACAGAAAGGGGAGAGGGAGGUGGGUGGGAGUGGAUGGAGAGUUGCCCUUUUAUUAAGGAGGGCCAGGGGCUGUAAUAGGGGCCCCGGCAUAACUUAUCUCAGGAAACAGCAGGGGCCCCCUCCUCUGGGGCCCAUAGCCUGGCCUUACUUCUCUUCUCUCUUCUUUACAGUUUGAGACUUCGUCUAAGCCAGCACUAGGCUGCCAAAGACUUCAAAUUCCUCUACCUUCUACUCUAAUUCCAGCUCCUUGAUGAGGGCAAGAUUCUUGGCUGGGACAGAAUGACCAGCAUGGAAUUCUGGGAAACUCAGAACCGCACGUGCUGCAAAUGCAGGGAAGAAGAGCUGCUUGCCACUGCGCUCAGAAUACUUCUGAGGACGUGGAACUGUCCCACUGGUCUGGGUAAUUUCCCCCCUUCCUCCACAUCUCCACUGUAAACCAAGAGACAGCACGGCUAGCGAGUCCCAGCCCUGCAGCGAGAGCUCUACCUGGCUCCUGUUCAUGCCCAAGGUAUUCACUUAUUCAACAGCCACGCGGGAAGCCACCACUUCAGAACACUGACUGUGUGGAGGGGGACACGAAGCCAGAUCCUCAGCUGCCUGGUCCUGGCUUUCCCUGCCUGAUCCAGGAGUCUCCUGAGGCAGGAAGUUCUUUGAGGGGAACUGAUAGCUCUUCAGAAGCCUGAUACAAAACUGUGCUCUGGGA